rnacentral:lncRNA from 1 species
UCAUUUCCAAAUCACUUACAACUUUACUUGAACACUACAUCAUAGCAAACACAUAAAGCAUAAACAGUCACAAAAUGAAACCAGUCAAACAUGGGAGUCCAAGGUGUAUACCCUUUAACAUCAAAUAGACAAUAAAAGAAAAACUCUCUCUCUCUGAGAAUUGGAUUUUAGAAACAGAAAACAGCAUCAACCAACCAAAUAUAGCCCAGAGAUUUAAAUCAAAAACCAAAACCAGCUCGAAACUAGGAGAUCCAACUAAUGAACUAGGAAAAAUCUUCUAAUUCACACCAUGUUCUUGACUUGUGCAGAAUAAAAAAAAAUAGAAAGUUUUUGAGUUUUUUCAAAAUUUCUGGAAUCUGAACUUUUUCAAAGCAGGGAAUGUUUUGUAGUAAUUCUUUG